rnacentral:rRNA from 1 species
GACGAACCGUGCGAACGUUGUUCGGAAUCACUGGGCUUAAAGGGCGCGUAGGCGGCUCGCCAAGUCAGGGGUGAAAUACUUCAGCUUAACUGGAGAAGUGCCCUUGAUACUGGCGGGCUCGAGGGAGGUAGGGGCAUGUGGAACUUCUGGUGGAGCGGUGAAAUGCGUUGAUAUCAGAAGGAACGCCGGUGGCGAAAGCGACGUGCUGGACCUCUUCUGACGCUGAGGCGCGAAAGCUAGGGGAGCAAACGGGAUUAGAUACCCCGGUAGUCCUAGCCCUAAACGAUGGGUACUAGAUUGUAGACUUGACAUGGGUUUACAGUCGAAGCAAAAGUGUUAAGUACCCCGCCUGGGGAGUAUGGUCGCAAGGCUGAA